rnacentral:rRNA from 1 species
GAUGAACGCUGGCGGCGUGCUUAAUACAUGCAAGUCGAGCGAACGGACGCGAAGCGUGCUGCUCUGAUGUUAGCGACGGACGGGUGAGUAGCACGUGGAUAACCUUCCUAUUAGACUUAGAUAACUUCGAGAAACCGGAGCUACGACCGGAUAAUAUUUUGAACCGCAUGGUUGAAAAGUGAAAUUCGGUCUUGCUGUCACUUAUGGAUUGAUCCCCGCUGCAUUAGGUAGUUGGUAAGGUAACGGCUUACCGAGGCAACGAUGCAUAGCCGAGCUGAGAGCGGGAUGGGCGACAGUGGGAGUGGGCCGCGGCCCAGGGUCUGAGGGGAGGCACAAGUAGCGACGGGUCGGAGAUGGGCGGAAGCCUGAAGGAGCGACGCCGCGCGAGUGAUGAGGGUCCUCGGGUCGUAUGACUCUGUUAGUGUGGAAGACCAUAUGCGUAAGUAACUGUGCAUUUCGUGACGGUACCUAGUCAGAAAGCACCGGCUAACUACGUG